rnacentral:rRNA from 1 species
UACGGAGGGAGCUAGCGUUGUUCGGAAUUACUGGGCGUAAAGCGCACGUAGGCGGCUUUUUUAAGUCAGGGGUGAAAUCCCGAGGCUCAACCUCGGAACUGCCUUUGAUACUGGGGAUCUCGAGUCCGGGAGAGGUGAGUGGAACUGCGAGUGUAGAGGUGAAAUUCGUAGAUAUUCGCAAGAACACCAGUGGCGAAGGCGGCUCACUGGCCCGGUACUGACGCUGAGGAGCGAAAGCGUGGG